rnacentral:rRNA from 1 species
AUUGAACGCUGGCGGCAGGCUUAACGCAUGCAAGUCGAGCGGAGCGAAGGUGCUUGCACCUUAGCUUAGCGGCGGACGGGUGAGUAAUGCUUAGGAAUCUGCCUAUUAGUGGGGGACCACGUUUCGAAAGGAACGCUAAUACCGCAUACGUCCUACGGGAGAAAGCAGGGGAUCUUCGGACCUUGUUCUAAUAGAUGAGCCUAAGUCGGAUUAGCUAGUUGGUGGGGUAAAGGCCUACCAAGGCGACGAUCUGUAGCGGGUCUGAGAGGAUGAUCCGCCACACUGGGACUGAGACACGGCCCAGACUCCUACGGGAGGCAGCAGUGGGGAAUAUUGGACAAUGGGCGAAAGCCUGAUCCAGCCAUGCCGCGUGUGUGAAGAAGGCCUUUUGGUUGUAAAGCACUUUAAGCGAGGAGGAGGAGCUUCAGGUUAAUACCCUGGAUGCUUGGACGUUACUCGCAGAAUAAGCACCGGCUAACUCUGUGCCAGCAGCCGCCGUAA